UGGGGAAUAUUGGACAAUGGGGGCAACCCUGAUCCAGCAAUGCCGCGUGAGUGAUGAAGGCCUUCGGGUUGUAAAGCUCUUUUGCCAGGGACGAUGAUGACGGUACCUGGAGAAUAAGCCCCGGCUAACUUCGUGCCAGCAGCCGCGGUAAUACGAAGGGGGCUAGCGUUGUUCGGAAUUACUGGGCGUAAAGGGCGCGUAGGCGGUUUGAUUAGUCAGAUGUGAAAUUCCCGGGCUUAACCUGGGCGCUGCAUUUGAUACUGUCAGGCUUGAAUUCAGGAGAGGAUAGCGGAAUUCCCAGUGUAGAGGUGAAAUUCGUAGAUAUUGGGAAGAACACCGGUGGCGAAGGCGGCUAUCUGGACUGACAUUGACGCUGAGGCGCGAAAGCGUGGGGAGCAAACA
rnacentral:rRNA from 1 species